GUGCUGUGUGGAUGAAGAGGGUUUAUCAGUACAGGUGAGUGGUGAACGUGAAAAGAACAGCUGGAGCCCUGGUAAGGAGAUGGGGGAGAGGAAGCAGCCACAGGUGCUGUAACUUAGGAAGAGGGAGAAGAGUAGUAAUGGGGACACUCAUAAUCUGAUGGUGAAGGAAUAAGGGCAGGAGGAACAAAAUUAUGAGAUUAAGCCAAACCCCGAGACGUUCCUCUCCUCUCAUGUUCAGCAAGGCAUUGGGGGAUGUUCACUGACAGCUGCAGAUGUAAGCAUUAACAAGAGAAGAUAGGGAGGCUCUGUUUAUUCCCGGGUAAAAGGAACACUAAGCCAGACAGCACAUCGGAGAGAGAUGAUCAUGCAUCUCAAUGCCCAUGGGUUUCAAAUAGACUCGGUCUCUGUUUGCUGCUCAUUCUUUAGCAUGAGUCAGUAGAGUAGGGGAUCUGCUCACAACUAAAGAGAAUAUUAGAAGAGACAAUACCUAAGGGAUAUCAAUGAAGUACAGACCUUACCCAAGUCUCACAGUGAAAACAUAGGAGAGGAGUGUGAGAUAAGUGGAAGAGUUACAAGAGAUGGAUCAAAAGCAAAUGUGUACAAUCCCUUCCACGCAAGGGCUAAGCCAGGUAGAGAGAAUAUCUGCACAGACAGAUCACUGCUGGGGUGAGAUCUAGAUACAUGGAGCUGGGUUCACUGUCCUUGUUCCUUGUUUGGUGUCUUCUCAAAGCCACCAAGAUUUGGAAAGGCCACAGUCAGGACAAGUCCUGGUUUGCUAUUCCAGGAAGUAGAAGUCUAAGGGAAGAAGAGCAAACAAAGUCAAGAGAAUUCAGAUUUAAAGAUAUAGAGCAUCUAAGGGCUCUAGAUACUU
rnacentral:lncRNA from 1 species